AUACUUACCUGGACGGGGUAAAUGGGUGAUCAAGAUGGCCCAUGGCCUAGAGUAGUGAUUUUCAUUGCACUUAGGAGGGGUACUACUCUAAGGUCUACCCAAGUGGUGGAGUCUAUGUCAUAAUUUGUGGUUGUGGGGACUUGCGUUCGCGCGGCCCCUCUUAAAUAUAGUUCCAAUUUUCUCUAAAGUUUAGUCAAUUGUAAUUGCAAAAAAGAAAAACGUCUAAUGCUUUUUUAUCUUGCAGAUAUAUUUCUUUCUCACUAGGAGCUUGAUAGCGUAGGAAAAUAAUUAUUAAUUUGUAGUAAUAAAUAU